rnacentral:piRNA from 1 species
UAAUGGAAUUAGCAAUGGACAGCC